rnacentral:rRNA from 1 species
GGGCCCGGCCGGGUGCUACACUAGCGAGUCGCACGAGUAGCAGGAAGAAGCUUGCUGCUUUGCUGACGAGUGGCGGACGGGUGAGUAAUGUCUGGGAAACUGCCUGAUGGAGGGGGAUAACUACUGGAAACGGUAGCUAAUACCGCAUAACGUCGCAAGACCAAAGAGGGGGACCUUCGGGCCUCUUGCCAUCGGAUGUGCCCAGAUGGGAUUAGCUAGUAGGUGGGGUAACGGCUCACCUAGGCGACGAUCCCUAGCUGGUCUGAGAGGAUGACCAGCCACACUGGAACUGAGACACGGUCCAGACUCCUACGGGAGGCAGCAGUGGGGAAUAUUGCACAAUGGGCGCAAGCCUGAUGCAGCCAUGCCGCGUGUAUGAAGAAGGCCUUCGGGUUGUAAAGUACUUUCAGCGGGGAGGAAGGGAGUAAAGUUAAUACCUUUGCUCAUUGACGUUACCCGCAGAAGAAGCACCGGCUAACUCCGUGCCAGCAGCCGCGGUAAUACGGAGGGUGCAAGCGUUAAUCGGAAUUACUGGGCGUAAAGCGCACGCAGGCGGUUUGUUAAGUCAGAUGUGAAAUCCCCGGGCUCAACCUGGGAACUGCAUCUGAUACUGGCAAGCUUGAGUCUCGUAGAGGGGGGUAGAAUUCCAGGUGUAGCGGUGAAAUGCGUAGAGAUCUGGAGGAAUACCGGUGGCGAAGGCGGCCCCCUGGACGAAGACUGACGCUCAGGUGCGAAAGCGUGGGGGAGCAAACAGGAUUAGAUACCCUGGUAGUCCACGCCGUAAACGAUGUCGACUUGGAGGUUGUGCCCUUGAGGCGUGGCUUUCCGGAGCUAACGCGUUAAGUCGACCGCCUGGGGAGAACGGCCGCAAGUUAAAACUCAAAUGAAUUGACGGGGGCCCGCACAAGCGGUGGAGCAUGUGGUUUAUUCCGAUGCACGCGAAAACCUUACUUGUCUGACAUCCACGGAAUUUUUACAGAUGAAAUGUGGCUUCGGGACUCGUGAAACGUGCUGGAUGGUUGUCCCCACUCGUGUUGUGAAAUGUUGGUUAAGUUCCCAACAGCGCACCCUUAAUCUUUGUUGCACGGCCGGGCGGGUAU